CCCUAUGGGGUGCAGCAGUCGCGAAACCUUUACAAUGCACGCAAGUGUGAUAGGGGGAUCCUCAGUGCUCAUGUUAUGCAUGGGCUUUUGUUAAGUUGAAACUGCUUAGCGAAUAAGUGGUGGGUAAGACUGGUGCCAGCCGCCGCGGUAACACCAGCGCCACGAGUGGGAACCACGUUUAUUGGGCCUAAAGCGUCCGUAGCCGGUCUAGCAAAUCUCUUGUGAAAUCGCAGGGCUUAACCUUGCGGCGUGCAGGAGACACUACUAGACUUGAGACCGGGAGGGGCCAGAAGUAUGCUUGGGGGACUGGUAAAAUGGUUUAAUCCCAAGUAGACUACCGAUGGCGAAGGCAUCUGGCCAGAACGGAUCUGACGGUGAGGGACGAAAGCUAGGGGAGCGAACCGGAUUAGGUAUCGAGCAAGUCCACGUUAAACAUAUUGUUGUUCGUUUAACAAGAUUACUAACAAUAUGGAUUAUGGAUUUGGCAAACUCGACUAAUUACCCGAGUAGUCCUAGCUGUAAACGCUGCGAGCAAGGUGUUGCGGCUUCCACGUGAAUCCGCAGUGUCGAAACGAAGGUGUUAAGCUCGCCGCCUGGGGAAGUACGGUCGCAAGGCUGAAACUUUAAGGAAUUGGCGGGGGAGCACAACAAGGGGUGCGGCGUGCGGUUUAAUCUAAUUCAACGCAGAGACCUUACUAGAAGCGACGGCAUAUGAAAGUCAGCUGAGUCUUACUCGAUGAGCCGA
rnacentral:rRNA from 1 species